UACGAAGGGGGGCUAGCGUUGCUCGGAAUCACUGGGCGUAAAGGGUGCGUAGGCGGGUUUGUUUGUCGAGGCGCUGAAAGCCCCGGGCUCGAACCUGGGAAUUGCGAUGAAGACUGCAAGGCUUGAAUCGUGGCAGAGGGGGGUAGAAUUCCACGUGUAGCAGUGAAAUGCGUAGAGAUGUGGAGGAACACCGAUGGCGAAGGCAGCCCCCUGGGUCAAGAUUGACGCUCAUGCACGAAAGCGUGGGGAGCAAACAGG
rnacentral:rRNA from 1 species